AAAGUGCGAUAAGCAAUGCGAAUUGCAGAAUUCCGCGAAUCAUCAGAUCCUUGAACGCAACUGGCGCUGGAGGGCUCUCCCUCCAGCAUGUCUGUUUCAGUGUCUGCAAACAUCACAAUUACCUUAAUGUGGUUGACAAAGUAUAGUGAAAAUGGUGGAUUCUAUCCUCCCUCUAUUCAUUAUUGCCAAGUCUUCCAUGAAAGAUGUGUGUGUGGGUCUUUGGACUCCUCAUCGGAUUUUGGUCACUGUUUACAGUGAUUUCGAUAGAGGAGUUUUUGUUCUUCUCGUAAGAACAAAUCAACUCAAUUACCCGAAAUUACACACAAGAACUACUGGUAGUCUAAUCAACUACCUAAUCUUCAAACUCUGCAUCUGAAAUCAGGCAAGAUCACCCGCUGAA
rnacentral:misc_RNA from 1 species